rnacentral:misc_RNA from 1 species
ACUUUACAUAUCAAAAUGAUUAGCUAAUUUAAUAUUGCAACUCAAUCAUUUAUAUACUGCCCUUUUACUUUAUAUUCUUUCAAUAUGGGAUUCUCAACAAAAACAACUCAAGAACACAUAGGAAUUUAACAUGGUUCAGUUUUAAGGCCUGUGUUCAUGGAUGAAGGUGUUUUAACAAAAUUUCACCAAGAAAAUCUCACUCUUACAAUCUCACUAUUGCUCAUAAGGUCACUAUCCUUGUUUUUUCAUACUAUACUCCUUGCCAUGCAAAUGGCUACAUGUAUAUGCAGCCAAGAAUUGUUAUCCGAGUCCAAGACUGAGUCUUUUCAAAAGUAUGAGACUUCAUCUCCAUGUUCAGCAGUCCAUGAAUUUGGACUCUAAGCAAGGAUGAACUAGCUGGCAAGUUGGUGAAAAUUUAUUCAUCGAGUUGGCCAAAACUUGGUCACCAAGUUCCUUCUUUAUGGAUUUGGGCCAACUAAGUUAAUGGGCCAACUAAGUUAAUGGGCCAAUCUAAGACAUCUUUAACACAUUGUGUAUUUGAACUGGUAUAUCUACAAUUUCUUCCUUUAACUUUGAUCUAGAUAUUGGUACUCCACAAAAAA